rnacentral:rRNA from 1 species
UACGAACUGUGCGAGCGUUAUUCGGAAUCACUGGGCGUAAAGCGCACGUAGGUGGGUCGUUAAGUCAGGGGUGAAAUCCUGGAGCUCAACUCCAGAACUGCCUUUGAUACUGGCGAUCUUCGAGUCCGGGAGAGGUGAGUGGAACUGCGAGUGUAGAGGUGAAAUUCGUAGAUAUUCGCAAGAACACCAGUGGCGAAGGCGGCUCACUGGCCCGGUACUGACACUGAGGUGCGAAAGCGUGGGGAGCAAACAGG